rnacentral:lncRNA from 12 species
CUCUCCUCACCUGUGGAAGAGUCAUUCCUCUUGGUCAUUGUUUUGACCAUUACAUCAGGUCCAAGGAACAUUCCUGAUAUUUGAGAUUUGUUAUGAUAUUCGAGAAGCUCAAGCCUAAAGCUUUCCCACCUACAAAGAACUACAUUCAGUACAUUGAUUCUGUUUCCUGCUUAACAACAGAGAACUAUCUCAAAAUGAACUGAUAGCUAAUAGACAUCUAGGGAAGGAAGAUGAUAAGAAGAAACUUCCCUUUGCUUCCAUGAAUUUUCUGACAAUCAUAUCCCAGUUUACAAAAGACUGAUGGUCUUCAGCUCUCUCAGAAGAAGGCCAAAUUUUUCUGGGCUAAACGGAUGGGAAUGCAAUUCAGCAUCAUAAAGUCACCCUAGAACAUGCAGAUUAAGCUGCA